GGACUGGUACCAGUGGUAGUGCACCAAACAUAGUGUGUUGGGAGUCCCAGGUUCAAGUCCUGGCAUGUCCA